AGUCAUCUGAAGUGUUCGUAAGUUUGCUUCAUAUUUGGGCCUAACACUCUUUGAUCCGGGAGCCCAAUGGGUUUUCUUGCAGCGCACACGCCUCAAAGGAGGACUUGCAAAACAAGAAACAGGGCACCCACCUGUUAUAAGC
rnacentral:sRNA from 1 species